rnacentral:rRNA from 1 species
GACGAACGCUGGCGGCGUGCGUAACACAUGCAAGUCGAACGGAAAGGCCCUGCUUUUGUGGGGUGCUCGAGUGGCGAACGGGUGAGUAACACGUGAGUAACCUGCCCUUGACUUUGGGAUAACUUCAGGAAACUGGGGCUAAUACCGGAUAGGAGCUCCUGCUGCAUGGUGGGGGUUGGAAAGUUUCGGCGGUUGGGGAUGGACUCGCGGCUUAUCAGCUUGUUGGUGGGGUAGUGGCUUACCAAGGCUUUGACGGGUAGCCGGCCUGAGAGGGUGACCGGCCACCUUGGGACUGCGAUACGGCCCAGAAUCCUACGGGAGGCAGCAGUGGGGAAUAUUGCACAAUGGGCGGAAGCCUGAUGCAGCAACGCCGCGUGCGGGAUGACGGCCUUUGGGUUGUAAACCGCUGUCGCCUGUGACGAAGAGUGAGUGACGGUAAUGGGUAAAGAAGCAACGGCUAACUACGUG